UACGUAGGCGGAAUAUUAAGUCAGUGGUGAAAUCCUGCGGCUCAACCGUAGAACUGCCAUUGAUACUGAUAUUCUUGAAUAUAGUUGAGGUAGGCGGAAUGUGUAAUGUAGCGGUGAAAUGCUUAGAUAUUACACAGAACACCGAUUGCGAAGGCAGCUUACUAAACUAUGAUUGACGCUGAGGCACGAAAGCGUGGGGAGCGAACAGGAUUAGAUACCCUGGUAGUCC
rnacentral:rRNA from 1 species